CCUUCGGGGUACACGAGCGGCGAACGGGUGAGUAACACGUGGGUGAUCUGCCUCGCACUCUGGGAUAAGCCUGGGAAACUGGGUCUAAUACCGGAUAUGACCACUAAUCGCAUGGUUUGUGGUGGAAAGAUUUAUCGGUGCGAGAUGGGCCCGCGGCCUAUCAGCUUGUUGGUGGGGUAAUGGCCUACCAAGGCGACGACGGGUAGCCGGCCUGAGAGGGCGACCGGCCACACUGGGACUGAGACACGGCCCAGACUCCUACGGGAGGCAGCAGUGGGGAAUAUUGCACAAUGGGCGGAAGCCUGAUGCAGCGACGCCGCGUGAGGGAUGACGGCCUUCGGGUUGUAAACCUCUUUCGACAGGGACGAAGCGCAAGUGACGGUACCUGUAGAAGAAGCACCGGCCAACUACGUGCCAGCAGCCGCGGUAAUACGUAGGGUGCGAGCGUUGUCCGGAAUUACUGGGCGUAAAGAGCUUGUAGGCGGUUCGUCGCGUCGAUCGUGAAAACGUGCAGCUCAACUGCACGCUUGCGGUCGAUACGGGCGGACUAGAGUACUGCAGGGGAGACUGGAAUUCCUGGUGUAGCGGUGAAAUGCGCAGAUAUCAGGAGGAACACCGGUGGCGAAGGCGGGUCUCUGGGCAGUAACUGACGCUGAGAAGCGAAAGCGUGGGUAGCGAACAGGAUUAGAUACCCUGGUAGUCCACGCCGUAAACGGUGGGCGCUAGGUGUGGGUUUCCUUCCACGGGAUCCGUGCCGUAGCUAACGCAUUAAGCGCCCCGCCUGGGGAGUACGGCCGCAAGGCUAAAACUCAAAGGAAUUGACGGGGGCCCGCACAAGCGGCGGAGCAUGUGGAUUAAUUCGAUGCAACGCGAAGAACCUUACCUGGGUUUGACAUACACCAGAAAGUCGUAGAGAUACGGCCCCCCUUGUGGUUGGUGUACAGGUGGUGCAUGGCUGUCGUCAGCUCGUGUCGUGAGAUGUUGGGUUAAGUCCCGCAACGAGCGCAACCCUUGUCCUGUGUUGCCAGCGCGUUAUGGCGGGGACUCGCAGGAGACUGCCGGGGUCAACUCGGAGGAAGGUGGGGACGACGUCAAGUCAUCAUGCCCCUUAUGUCCAGGGCUUCACACAUGCUACAAUGGCCGGUACAGAGGGCUGCGAUACCGUGAGGUGGAGCGAAUCCCUUAAAGCCGGUCUCAGUUCGGAUCGGGGUCUGCAACUCGACCCCGUGAAGUUGGAGUCGCUAGUAAUCGCAGAUCAGCAACGCUGCGGUGAAUACGUUCCCGGGCCUUGUACACACCGCCCGUCACGUCAUGAAAGUCGGUAACACCCGAAGCCGGUGGCCUAACCCUUGUGGAGGGAGCCGUCGAAGGU
rnacentral:rRNA from 1 species